rnacentral:rRNA from 1 species
CACGUAGGGGGCAAGCGUUGUCCGGAUUUAUUGGGCGUAAAGAGCUCGUAGGCGGUUCGGUAAGUCGGGUGUGAAACCUCCAGGCUCAACCUGGAGACGCCACCCGAUACUGCUGUGACUAGAGUCCGGUAGGGGAGCGUGGAAUUCCCAGUGUAGAGGUGAAAUUCGUAGAUAUUGGGAAGAACACCGGUGGCGAAGGCGGCGCUCUGGACCGAGACUUACGCUGAGGCGCGAAAGCGUGGGGAGCGAACAGG